rnacentral:rRNA from 1 species
GACGAACGCUGGCGGCGUGCUUAACACAUGCAAGUCGAACGGAAAGGCCCUGCUUUUGUGGGGUGCUCGAGUGGCGAACGGGUGAGUAACACGUGAGUAACCUGCCCUUGACUUUGGGAUAACUUCAGGAAACUGGGGCUAAUACCGGAUAGGAGCUCCUGCUGCAUGGUGGGGGUUGGAAAGUUUCGGCGGUUGGGGAUGGACUGGCGGCUUAUCAGCUUGUUGGUGGGGUAGUGGCUUACCAAGGCUUUGACGGGUAGCCGGCCUGAGAGGGUGACCGGCGACAUUGGGACUGAGAUACGGCCCAGACGCCUACGGGAGGCAGCAGUGGGGAAUAUUACACAAUGGGCGGAAGCCUGAUGCAGCAACGCCGCGUGCGGGAUGACGGCCUUCGGGUGGUAAACCGCUUUCGCCUGUGACGAAGCGUGAGUGACGGUAAUGGGUAAAGAAGCACCGGCUAACUACGUG